rnacentral:lncRNA from 1 species
GGUCGCCGGCAUGGUUUCUCCGUCCUGCUGCAGCCGGCGGGAGGCAGCCAGUCCAGGCGCCCGCUAGCUUCGGCGGCGACCCAGACGGGGAAAGCGGAAGGAAUGUCGCGUGGUGGGUCCGGGUCGGCGGUGCAGGGAGCCCCGGGGCGGAAUGCGGGGGAUGCCAGGACCUCCGGAAGGAGGUGCCGGAGCCCAGGAAGCGUUUUCUUCCCCAUUUACCGAGUAUAGCUCCUUUCCCCAGACCCGCUCCCGCUGCUCUGACAAGCAGGCAGCUGGUGUGGAAGAAUGGCGGUGAGCCAUUCAGUGAAGGAGCGGACCAUCUCUGAGAACAGCCUGAUCAUCCUACUGCAGGGCCUCCAGGGCCGGGUAACCACUGUGGACCUGCGGGAUGAGAGCGUGGC